CCUCCACCAGGUCCCCUCUCUCCCUGUCAUCCUCGCCUGAGCCGAGGAGGGAUGGGAAAGGAGAGAGGGAGGCGGAGGACUGUGCAGCCAAGAGUUCUGCCUGAACCACCAGAGUGGCCACCGAGUUCGCCAUGACAGUUUUGGAAUUCCGUCCCACCACCGGAAGCAGCAGAUGUCAGUCCAGCUCUACACAAAACUGACGUGAAGAAAGAAAAAAAACGAAUAAUCCGGCGUCACUCUUCACUUGUGAAAAGCUUGAAGUGGUGGAGGAGCUCCUGGCUGGACUGCAGAACAUCAAACUGGAUGUUUUGUGCAUACAACAACGCACGACGUGACCAAGAAGGCAGCGAGGAGCGGCAGCACACAGCUGAAGGGAAACUCCAGGGUCACUAUAAAAAGAUGCCAUGACGCAGUGCUGCCCACUGCCCAGCUACGGCUUGUGCUGUCAUCCACGUCUGCUCUCACGCUGGUGUACUUCUCGUCUGGGCCGCCAGAGGGGGGUAAACAAUAUCCAUGCAGGGGCAUGGCUUGGUGAGGCUUGGCGAGUGACGUCAGGAGCUGGAGUUGGCUAGUCUGUGUGUGAGCAUCUGGACGUGAGCUGUGGCCUACAGGAGCUUUUCGCAAGUGAUUUCAUUUUGUAUUUGUGGAUUUGUCAUGUACAAUAAACGGCUUAAAGUGCAUCAGAGACUGUGGCUCUCCUUGCCCACAUGUGAGGGCAUCACAGUACCUCUAUUGCUCCAUUGUUUUUUUCACUUAAGUCAAGCAGCAGCGUAUUUAAAGUUUGCAUUUUAGCCCACAACACAAAGCAACAAGAACAACAACAAAAAUCAACCAC